CAAAUGGAGAGUUUGAUCCUGGCUCAGGAUGAACGCUGGCGGCAUGCCUAAUACAUGCAAGUCGAACGAAGUCUCUAGGGAGCUUGCUUCCAAAGAGACUUAGUGGCGAACGGGUGAGUAACACGUAGGUAACCUGCCCAUGUGUCUGGGAUAACUGCUGGAAACGGUAGCUAAAACCGGAUAGGUAUACGGAGCGCAUGCUCUGUAUAUUAAAGCACCCCUCAAGGUGUGAACAUGGAUGGACCUGCGGCGCAUUAGCUAGUUGGUG
rnacentral:ncRNA from 1 species